GCACAUGUCCGGCUUUUAUGCAAACUCACGUGAUCAGGAGAGGCCGCGGAGGAUUCUGGGAAAUGUAGUGUUGUUGUUACAAUGGCGGGAAGAGACAGAAAGAAGCAAUAAGAGACCUAACAACGACUCAUAUGUGGUUGAAGAUUGAAGACAACAGCUUCAUCAUCAUCAUCUUCAUCCUCACCGCAAAUAAAGUAUGAACUUUUAUUGCACAGUGAUGUCCUCAUCAUUGUCUUCAUGAGGUCCCUCCUGAAAGAGGAAAGCACUGCUACGACUCUGGAGAAAUCUGCACCCUGAGGGAGGAGAGGUGUAAAAUCCUGAUUUUCUUUCAUCUCCUUUUCCUGUGUGCACAAAUCAGCGUCGGGGAAGGAAUUUAAGUUGUUUCCAUUACCUCUCCACUGCAAGCAAUCUAACAUGGGAAAAAAAGCAAUAAUCUCAUAAAAUGUCCCUCACAUUAAUAGACACGUCUCAUGCACUAAGCUGCCACUAAUUCACCUUACCCACUGCCAUGACCCCUCAGUUAAUCCCACCGUGCUGCUGCAUCCUGUAAUAUCAUUUUUAUAUCUUUUUUUUUUUUCAAACAUUCAUGCAAUCCUACCAAACCUUCCAAGAAAAUAUAAAAAAAAGAUCCAGUUGAAUGAAAUCCCAAUCUUCCACUUUUUAAUCCUUGAAAUUAAAUAUUUCAGCAUCUGUUUUGUUUAUGUAAAAUGUGCACAUAAACAUUACAGGAGCUGGCUCAGAGCUGCGAGCAUAUGUAGAGCAUCAGGUAACACAGUACAGUGUUUAAUUACAUCCCUGGCUGGUGGAGACGGCCCGAACUGAACUUGUCCCCUUGCACACGCUGCCAGAUGUCGAGUUCACGUGACAGUAACUGCGAUCCCCUCCUCACACACACACACACACACACACACACACACAUGCCAUUGUCUUCAGUAUUAAUGUGAGCUGGACCUUACCCUCUUGACAUGGCUUGAUUCAUGUGGGGAUGAGACACAGAUACUGAAUAGUUGAUGAGCUGGGAGAAAAAGAAAAGAAGUGGAGGGGUGGGGUGGAGGUUAGAAAUAGAGAGAGGCAG